rnacentral:rRNA from 1 species
GAUGAACGCUGGCGGCGUGCCUAAUACAUGCAAGUCGAGCGAACGGACGAGAAGCUUGCUUCUCUGAUGUUAGCGGCGGACGGGUGAGUAACACGUGGAUAACCUACCUAUAAGACUGGGAUAACUUCGGGAAACCGGAGCUAAUACCGGAUAAUAUUUUGAACCGCAUGGUUCAAAAGUGAAAGACGGUCUUGCUGUCACUUAUAGAUGGAUCCGCGCUGCAUUAGCUAGUUGGUAAGGUAACGGCUUACCAAGGCAACGAUGCAUAGCCGACCUGAGAGGGUGAUCGGCCACACUAGACCUGAGACACGGUCCAGACUCCUACGGGAGGCAGCAGUAGGGAAUCUUCCGCAAUGGGCGAAAGCCUGACGGAGCAACGCCGCGUGAGUGAUGAAGGUCUUCGGAUCGUAAAACUCUGUUAUUAGGGAAGAACAUAUGUGUAAGUAACUGUGCACAUCUUGACGGUACCUAUUCAGAAAGCCACGGCUAACUACGUG